GGAAGAUGUUGCUUUUGACUCAGCAGACUGUAUAGAUUUAGUGAUCAAAGAUUCUAACUGAGACUCAGUUUCUUUCAGAAGCAACAAAAACCACAAACCUUGUAAUUUCUGCCAGCUAUUGAAACUUAUAGCAAACAAGAAACAGGCUCAGGAAAUCAGAGAGUUGCAAGAAUGCAUGGUCUACAGGAAUACCCACGCUUUCAGCAUAACAACAAUGAAGGAACAUCAACAGGAAGAUAAAUGCAUUUUGACAAGACUGCGUGUAUUUAUUUGAAGCAUAGAAAUUGCAUAUAUCACAGAGCACCAUGAAGUUCUUGUUAUGGUGUAGGUGCUUUUUUUCCCAAAAUGCUAUUUCCUCCUUCAAAACA